CCCUUUGGUGGGGAAUAGCUCAUCGAAAGAUGGGGUAAUACCGCAUAAUCUCUCUGGAGCAAAGGUCGUAACUGACCGCCGAAGGAGGAGCCUGCGUCCUAUCAGCUUGUUGGUAGGGUAAUGGCCUACCAAGGCGAUGACGGGUAGGGGGUGUGAGAGCACGAUCCCCCACAAUGGGACUGAGACACGGCCCAUACGCCUACGGGUGGCAGCAACUGGGAAUCAUUCGCAAUGGACGAAAGUCUGACGAUGCGACGCCGCGUGCGGGAUGACGGCCUUCGGGUCGUAAACCGCUUUUCUUCAAUGUAGUGUUGGAGGAAUAAGCCACUGCUAACUACGUGCCAGAAGCCUCGGUGAGACGUAGGUGGCAAGCGUUAUCCGGAUUUAUUGGGCGUAAAGGGUUUCGUAGGCGAUCGGCCGCAUCCUCUCUGAAAGCCUCCCGCUUAACGGGAGAACCGGAGAGGAGAUGGGUCGGAUAGAGUCUUGUAGGGGGUGCUGGAAUUCCUGGUGUAGCGGUGAAAUGCGUAGAUAUCAGGAGGAACGUUAAGGGCGAAGGCAGGCACCUGGGCAAGCACUGACGCUGAGGAACGAAAGCUAGGGUAGCAAAAGGGAUUAGAGACCCCUGUAGUCCUAGCCGUAAACGAUGGACGCUAGCUGCCCCGCCUUUGGCGGGGUGGCGUAAGCUAACGCGUUAAGC
rnacentral:rRNA from 1 species